GGCCAUAGCUUAGUGGUAGAGACAUCUGCUUUGAGCGCAUAAGGUCCUAGGUUCAAUUUCUGGCAUCUCCUAGUAGGGCUG